rnacentral:rRNA from 1 species
GAUGAACGCUGGCGGCGUGCCUAAUACAUGCAAGUCGAGCGAACGGACGAGAAGCUUGCUUCUCUGAUGUUAGCGGCGGACGGGUGAGUAACACGUGGAUAACCUACCUAUAAGACUGGGAUAACUUCGGGAAACCGUAGCUAAUACCGGAUAAUAUUUUGAACCGCAUGGUUCAAAAGUGAAAGACGGUCUUGCUGUCACUUAUAGAUGGAUCCGCGCUGCAUUAGCUAGUUGGUAAGGUAACGGCUUACCAAGGCAACGAUGCAUAGCCGACCUGAGAGGGUGAUCCGCCACACUGGAACUGAGACACGGUCCAGACUCCUACGGGAGGCAGCAGUAGGGAAUCUUCCGCAAUGGGCGAAAGCCUGACGGAGCAACGCCGCGUGAGUGAUGAAGGUCUUCGGAUCGUAAAACUCUGUUAUUAGGGAAGAACAUAUGUGUAAGUAACUGUGCACAUCUUGACGGCACCUAAUCAGAAAGCCACGGCUAACUACGUG